AGCGAACGCUGGCGGUAGGCCUAACACAUGCAAGUCGAACGGCAGCACAGUAAGAGCUUGCUCUUACGGGCGGCGAGUGGCGGACGGUUGAGGAAUACAUCGGAAUCUACUCUUUCGUGGGGGAUAACGUAGGGAAACUUACGCUAAUACAGCAUACGACCUACGGGGGAAAGCAGGGGAUCUUCGGACCUUGCGCGAUUGAAUGAGCCGAUGUCGGAUUCGCUAGUUGGCGGGGGAAAGGCCCACCAAGGCGACGAUCCGUAGCUGGUCUGAGAGGAUGAUCAGCCACACUGGAACAGAGACACGGUCCAGACACCUGCGGGGGGCAGCAGUGGAGAAUAUUAGGCGAUGGGGGAAAGCCUGAUACAGCAAUACCGCGUGGGUGAAGAAGGAGUUCGGGUUGUAAAGCCCUGUUGUCGGGAAAGAAAAGCAGCAGGUUUAUACCGCGCUAUUCUGACGGUACCGAAAGAAUAAGCACCGGCUAACUUCGUG
rnacentral:rRNA from 1 species